rnacentral:lncRNA from 1 species
CGUGUGUUUUUGUAACACGGUUUAAUAGUUUUAUUUUACUCCUGUGAUUAGUUUCUGUUUGUUCUAAUUUCUUUUUGACUCUUUCUUGACCUUGAGGUGAAAAAACACAGAAGAUAUAUUCCCUCAAUUUAAUGCCAGUCUGAGGUGUUUCUCCUGCAUCAUCAGAUCAAUGAAAAGUAAAUAGCCUACAUUUCUUGUUUCACAGUGCAGUAUUGAUCUUUCUUCAGCUUUUGCUUUGCUUUUUCCCUGUGCCUUGUGUCUUUCAACCCCUGGGACCAAAGUGAUUGCCAUAGAUUGGACAAGCUAACAAGCACAUGAUAAGGAACUAGUGUUUUGUGCUGGUGCCAAGCUGGGUGAGGACAUUACCCCUCUGAAAAGUACAAGUAGCCUGAAGGGAAUGCCACAAGCUGCUUUUUUCUAUGGCGAUGUAGGGGAUGGUAGCAGCCCAUGGUUUCCAGAAUGAGAAUAAAAAAAUUACUUGAUAAUUACUGAUUGUUGAC